rnacentral:tRNA from 1 species
GGAGGGAUAUCGAAGCGGUCAUAACGAGGCGGUCUUGAAAACCGUUUGUGGGCAACCACACAAGGGUUCGAAUCCCUUUCCCUCCG